rnacentral:rRNA from 1 species
UGGGGGAUAUUGCACAAUGGGCGAAAGCCUGAUGCAGCGACGCCGCGUGGGGGAUGAAGGCCUUCGGGUUGUAAACUUCUUUUGCUCUGAACAAGGCGCACCAUGGGGUGUGUUGAGUGUAGGGGUUGAUUAGCGCCGGCUAACUACGUGCCAGCAGCCGCGGUAAUACGUAGGGCGCGAGCGUUGUCCGGAAUUAUUGGGCGUAAAGGGCUUGUAGGUGGCUGGUUGCGUCUGUCGUGAAAGCUCAUGGCUUAACUGUGGGUUUGCGGUGGGUACGGGCUGGCUUGAGUGCAGUAGGGGAGGCUGGAAUUCCUGGUGUAGCGGUGGAAUGCGCAGAUAUCAGGAGGAAUACCGGUGGCGAAGGCGGGUCUCUGGGCUGUUACUGACGCUGAGGAGCGAAAGCAUGGGGAGCGAACAGG